UAAAAAUUAUGAUUUUGCAUUUUUUCUUUUUUUCCUUUGAGGCGCUGACUUUUAUCUCUAAAUAUACGAUUAACCUAACAUAAAUUAUGAAGAGCGAUAAUAAAAAUCAGAAAAAAGCGGAGGAAAAGUGAAAUAAAAAUGCAGUUAAAAGUACGGUAAACAAAAUAACAAACAGGGUUUCUUUAUGCAGGUGAUAUUUUAAGCGGAAAUUCCUUAUCUUCCUUUACGUCAUCUUAAAGGGAAAAUUCCCUGAUUCCUUCUAUUGAAUUACAGAAUUUUAUAUUUAUCAUUACAUACUGAAUGUUUAUGUGUAGAGUAAGAUUCAUCCAUACGUAUCUUAUCUGAUACUGAUUUUUUCAAAAGAAACCUUACAUUAUUUGAGAAAAAAGAAACUACUCAUCUGCCGGAAUUAUGGAUAAAAUUUGCUGCAUCUUUGACUUAGAAUACUUCCGCGGAAGCAAACUGGUGUGUGAGCUGGGAUGGAUUAACAUGAACAACGGCAAGUCCGGAAGCAUUCAAUUCAUACGGAAGAGCAACCAACGGUCCUUACAAUACGGGGAAAAUUGUAAUCACAGUACAAUGGAUAUUGGGGACUUGUCUUUUGAACAGAUAAUGGCAGAACCCUCCAUGUUGGGGCAGUUACUGCGUAACAAGUUAUUUUUUAUUUAUGAAUCUUGCAGAACUCCCACCAAAAAUGUGAUUGCUUACAGGGGAGGAGGUGUUGAAAAAGCUAUUGUGGCACCUCUAACAGCUCCGUAUAUCAAUUUUGAACUUUACAAUUGCCCUAUGAUAGACCAGAUUAGCAGGAUAAGCUACCCAACAUGUGGUUACCACAGGUUUAGACAUCUGUGCUGCCCUCUUGCUGAAGUUCAUGCUUUCAGAACUUGGUUGAUAAAUCGGCUGUAAUUAGGAAUGAAAGCAAAAAGGAAAAGAAGAAAAUCUGGCAGUAAAACCAUUUCAGUAAGUGAAUUUUAACCCCGAUCGUGGGUAUACGGGAAGAACCGGGUCGACUCGUCGCUGCGACAGUUGCUUUUUUUUUACGGAAUCGCCCCCCUCCCUCAGGAGAGGAGGGGCGAUUCUGUAAAAAAAGAACAUUUCAGUAAAUAUUUUUUUUAAAACUAAUGAACAGAAAGAAGCAGUUUCUCACAUAUGCUAUAAUUUUUAAAAUAUCUUGGUAGUUACAGUUAUUUGUUUUUCUAGAAAAAAAUGUCUUUUGUGCCAAUUUUUACUCUUUUCCGUCUUGAUGUAUAUAGUCUUUCAGCCUUGUUCUGUAAUAAGUCAAUAAAAGUUUUAAAUGUUGCGCAUGCA